AACAAGGCCAUUAUCAUAUCAUCGUUCUUCACUUUCGAAACUAGAGAAAGAAUAAAAGAUAAAAGCUUGGCUAGGGUUCGGCCAUUGUUGAACUAGAUUGAGAUCAAGAAACCAAGAAAUCGGAUUUAGAUCGGGGGAAAUCAAAGGUAGUUGAGUAGUCGAUCUAUUUGUCGACGACAUCCGAGAUUUUGGAGAUCGCUACGUGUUCGGGUAUCGCCAGCUAAGCUCAUCACACUAUCGGUGUCUCCUUUUGGUAUUUUGCUAAAUUGUUUUCAAAUAUAUGGCAUGUAUAGCUUAGUUAAAAAUGGUGAUUUUGAAAUCAAUGUGUAUGUGUAAUUAAAAGCCGUGUGAAAAUGGGUUAUCUCUUUUUGUUUUGAAUUUGGUAUUAACGAAUAUGCUUUAAUGGUCUAA